rnacentral:antisense_RNA from 1 species
ACUAAAUGAGCACCACGAAAAUCAGCAAUAAUUACCACUCAAUAGGUGAGUGAAGCUGAACUGAUGUGAGGACACAAAAAACUUGUUCCCAGGAGACAGCUAAAGAGAAAAAUGUUGCUGUUUUUCUUCUGUGAAAGGAGGAAAUUCUAUGAGACGGCCCCUAAGAUCCAUGCAUAAAGACUCUCUGCCUGGAAUGCUAACAUGGACUCCAGAGGCAGCUGGGACGAUGCUCUGGAAGCACUGACUUGGCCACUGGGCUUCUGCAAACUCUGUGCUGUGAGGCUGCUCCAGAGCUUUGCUGUGGCCGAUGCAUGCCCUGAGAAAUGUCCUACUCCUCUGGGGAUAUAAAUAUACACACCCACAAGCCACACAUAUCAAGAACAAAGCAGGAAAUGGCACUUCAAAUGAUCCUUAAAUUAUCUGGUCAAAUGCAAGGAGGGAGGGGAAAGGGAAGAGAAGAAACCCAGCUCUUCAAACUCCCCCAGAACAAAUGCCCUUGAAUUUCUCUUCCUGCUCCCACUCAAACGCUCCAAGUGUUAGUCUAAAUAAACACCCUCGAAUGC